rnacentral:tRNA from 1 species
GCAGCGGUGACUCAGUGGUAGGGGUCUUGCCUUCCGUGCAGGAGACCUGGGUUAAAUUCCCGGCCAAUGUA